UCUAUUUGGCCAAUUUCUACUUU
rnacentral:miRNA from 1 species